GGGUCAUCCACUUGAUUGGCUUGGGAGCUGCCCAGUGGGGAAGAGUGGAGCCCCCAGGAUGGCUGAUUUUCUGGGCAGCUGCCACCACAUGCCCUUUUUAAAGAUAUAAAUUUCCUUCUUCCUAGGAUGCUCCUUCCUCUGGACACUUCUUCGUCAUUCCAGUACCUCCUCCUGCCUCAGCCUCUUGUGUAGCUGAGAUUAUAGGCAUGCACCACCACACCCAGCAUACACAACUAUUACUUUUAUGACUGCACAGUACUGGGCCAUGAAAAAGGCCAAUGGCCCAUGCUAGUUCAUCACUUUGGAAGGAGCCACAGACUUUAAAUUUAAUGAAAGUAAAAGUAAUUUAUUUUUAAUAUAAUUAUCUCUAUAGUAAGAAGCAACAUAAUUUAAAAAAUGCAUUUCCUUCAUUUUGUUUAGCUAGAGACAUUCUAUAAUGCUGGGUAGGAGGAAACAUAGCUUAUCAUACAGCCUUCUUUGAGGAGCGCUAGCUAGGCACAGUGAGGCAGGAUACGGAAGACAGGGAGGGAGUGGUGUCAAACGUGGCUUCAGUGUUAACAGCUAGCUAACAUUAACAGCCUGUAUUUAUUUUACUUCAUUUUUCUUAACCCCUAUAUUGUGUGACUAAACUACAACACACUAGUGUGGGAAACCUUUGUAGAUAAUCAUUUCAAUGUAUAUGCUAACUUUUAGUUCCUACCUCAAACUAUAUAAUCAACUAUACAAGUAACCAGACUUUUGAUUACUGUUAUGUAACGUAAUCACAGUCAGCAGAAUAUGGAAUUACACUGCUGAGCUACAAGAACAGGAGCCAUGUGCAUUACUUAUGAAAAACACAGCAUUUUAGCUCAGUGGUAUAAAGGGCUAAGUUAUUCAAA